GUAAAAAAAACAGAGGAAGAGGAGAGCAAGAAAAGAAGGAAAAUAUGGGGAAAUUGAGGGAAUUCUUCAGGGGUAAUCAAAAUGAGAGAGGGAGAACCAGAGAGUAAGCCAGAGGAGAAAGGCUUCGGCAAAGUGAAGGAAAAAAUUGAAGAAAAACAGAGCAAGAAAGGAAAAAUUGAGGAAGAAUUUCGGGCAAGAAGGAAAGGAAAAGAAGUGACUUGGCAGAGGGAUUGAAACUUGUUGCCAGUUCUGGGAUUUUUCCAUUACUACCUGCGAAUCUUCACUGAACAAGAGCACUGUAAGUUUCUUUUCUCUCUAAAAAUUUCAGUUCUUGUCCAGUUUUUGAAAUGGGUUUUCCGUGAUUUCAUUUGGUGCAAUUUUCCUGUCAAUUGGCCUCAUUUUUUUGAAUACACAUGCUGCAUACGUUGAUUGAGCUGAAUGUCUUGGUAUCUGAUAAUUUUUGGGGCUAGUUAUAACUUCAAUUCGAGCAAAAAUCUGGUAAAA
rnacentral:lncRNA from 1 species